UACAGAGGUCUCAAGCGUUGUUCGGAUUCAUUGGGCGUAAAGGGUGUGUAGGCGGGCUUUUAAGUCAGUGGUGAAAUCUCCGGGCUCAACCCGGAAACUGCCAUUGAUACUAUUAGUCUUGAAUUUUGUUGAGGUAGGCGGAAUAAGUCAUGUAGCGGUGAAAUGCUUAGAUAUGACUUAGAACACCAAUUGCGAAGGCAGCUUGCUAAACAAACAUUGACGCUGAGGCACGAAAGCGUGGGGAUCAAACAGG
rnacentral:rRNA from 1 species